rnacentral:lncRNA from 1 species
CCCGGAAGUAAUGUCUCCCAUGCGCGAGAGUUUGGAGACGCCAAAAGGCUGCAAAGAAACUUCAGGUAUGGACUGUGGUAAAACUACCCUGCAUUGAUGCCCUCUUGGGAGCUAAUGCCAACCAGCAGCCAUUUUGUUUCUCCCUGCGGGACAUUAGCCCAGGGAUCACACCACUGCUGUGGCAGACACUGUCUGGGGCCAACCGUCAAGCAUCUGACACUCAGCGCAGGAGAUAAAGUAACGAGGGACGUGACGUUGAUUUGACACCCGGUGACUGACAGAAAGGAGCGAGAAAAAUCAGCUACAGGUCUCUAUAGUAUGUUAUGUACCGGCAGGUAUCAUUCCCUCCGGAUCUCCCCCCACCUAGAAGAGAGUUGCCAGGACUGGUUCAUCUCUGCCUGCCAGACAGCCAUGUCUCUCUCACCACGCCACAUCUGGCCUAAAACCCCCACCUCCCUCCUUCUCUACCUCUCCCUCUCCCUCAUACAGACCCUGCAGCCUUGCUUCUCAUCAAUUACGUCUCUGAUGUGGAAACACACGACGGACUAUUUAAACGAGAAGUGGCUUCAUCCCUCCAUCCAUCUCUGACGGAGGAAAAGAGCGGAGGAGGAGGCGUGCAAGGAGAACAACGGGCGAGAGUGUCAGAAGACAUCAAACAAUGAAUCAGUCUGAAAUCUAUGAUCUCCAGCUGCUCCAGCUGUUGCUGGGACUCAGAGCAAAAGAGAGAGGAAACACCAACAAUAGGAAAACAGCGGCAUCAGAUUAUACAGGGAUGGAAGUGCUUGGCGUUGCAAACACAGAUUUUGUCGGUUGGUGGUGUGUUGAUGAGGGAUCAGGUCUGGUGAAAAUGGCUGGGCUGCUGGUGUGGUGCAGAUAGGGUUGAGACUGAUAUACAGGUGUGACUGAGUACAGGGGAAAGCAGGCAUGGACAUGAGUAAGAGGGUUUCAAGGAAUAUUUACUGUUGAUAGUGUUGAAGCUUUGAGUCAUGGCUGGAAGCGUUGGACUUAAACAGUGUAGGCUAGUUCAAAGAAUUAUGUGGUUAUUCAAGUAUAUGUACUGAA